UGGGGAAUAUUGGACAAUGGGGGGAACCCUGAUCCAGCCAUGCCGCGUGUGUGAAGAAGGCCUUAUGGUUGUAAAGCACUUUAAGCGAGGAGGAGGGUACUGGUAUUAAUACUACCAGGUACUGGACGUUACUCGCAGAAUAAGCACCGGCUAACUCUGUGCCAGCAGCCGCGGUAAUACAGAGGGUGCGAUCGUUAAUCGGAUUUACUGGGCGUAAAGCGUGCGUAGGCGGCUAAUUGAGUCGGAUGUGAAAUCCCCGAGCUUAACUUGGGAAUUGCAUUCGAUACUGGUUAGCUAGAGUGUGGGAGAGGAUGGUAGAAUUCCAGGUGUAGCGGUGAAAUGCGUAGAGAUCUGGAGGAAUACCGAUGGCGAAGGCAGCCAUCUGGCCUAACACUGACGCUGAGGUACGAAAGCAUGGGGAGCAAACAGG
rnacentral:rRNA from 1 species